AUACGGAGGAUCCGAGCGUUAUCCGGAUUUAUUGGGUUUAAAGGGUGCGCAGGCGGCCAUUUAAGUCAGCGGUUAAAUCGUGGGGCUCAACCCCAUUCUGCCGUUGAUACUGGGUGGCUUGAUUGCGGUCGAGGUUGGCGGACUUCGUUGUGUAGCGGUGAAAUGCAUAGAUAUGACGAAGAACACCGAUUGCGUAGGCAGCUGACCAGACCGCAAAUGACGCUCAUGCACGAAAGUGCGGGGAUCGAACAGGAUUAGAUACCCUGGUAGUCCGCACAGUAAACGAUGAAUACUUGUUUUCGGCGAUAUAAUGUCGGAGGCAAAGCGAAAGCGAUAAGUAUUCCACCUGGGGAGUACGCCGGCAACGGUGAAACUCAAAGGAAUGGACGGGG
rnacentral:rRNA from 1 species